rnacentral:rRNA from 1 species
UAAGACAGAGGUCCCGAGCGUUAGGCGGAAUCACUGGGCUUAAAGCGUGUGUAGGCGGAUGCCUAAGUACCUUGUGAAAUCCCACGGCUUAACCGUGGAACUGCUUGGUAUACUGGGUGUCUUGAGCCACCUAGGGGCUACCGGAACAAGUGGUGGAGCGGUGAAAUGCGUAGAUAUCACUUGGAACGCCAAUGGUGAAAACAGGUAGCUGGGGGUGUGCUGACGCUGAGACACGAAAGCCAGGGGAGCGAACGGGAUUAGAUACCCCGGUAGUCCUGGCUGUAAACGAUGUCGACUAGAUCGUAGUGGCUCUGACGCUAUUACGGUCGAAGCAAAAGUGCUAAGUCGACCGCCUGGGAAGUACGGUCGCAAGGCUA